GCAAGUCGAGCGGAAUUAUACGAAUGAAGCUUUCGGGUGAAUUUUGUAUAUGAGAGCGGCGAACGGGUGAGUACUACCUUGGUACCUGCCCCCAAGUCAGGGAUAGCCAUUGGAAACGAUGAUUAAUACCGGAUGUGCUGGAAACAGUAAAGAUUUAUCGCUUGGGGAGGGGCCUCGGUCCUAUCAGCUAGUUGGUGGAGUAACGGUCUACCAAGGCAAUGACGGGUAGCUGGUCUGAGAGGACGAUC
rnacentral:rRNA from 1 species